rnacentral:rRNA from 1 species
UACGUAGGGUGCAAGCGUUGUCCGGAUUUAUUGGGUUUAAAGGGUGCGCAGGCGGUCAGAUAAGUUAGUGGUGAAAUCGUCCCGCUCAACGGGAUACACGCCAUUGAUACUGUCCGGCUUGAGUGUGACAGAGGGACUUGGAAUGCGUGGUGUAGCGGUGAAAUGCAUAGAUAUCACGCAGAACACCGAUUGCGAAGGCAGAGUUCUAUGUCAUGACUGACGCUGAGGCACGAAAGCGUGGGUAGCGAACAGG